rnacentral:tRNA from 1 species
GGGGUUGUGGCUCAGUGGUAGAGCACUUGCUUAGCAUGUGCAAGUUGCUGGGUUCAAUCCUUAACACCA